rnacentral:tRNA from 2 species
GGGCCCGUGGCUCAACCUGGCUAGAGCGUCCGACGGCUUGGAACCGGACGGUUGUGGGUUCAAAUCCCACCGGGCCCG